CUCCAGGCAGUGCUACCAGCUUUUGUGAUUUUUGCCAGUCCUUCAAUAUUUGCUUUUUGUUCUCUUGGCUUUUGCUCCCAGAUUAACGCAAUGAAAUUCCUCUUUCCAUUGGCAAACAAGGGGAGGGGAACAAAAAGCACUUCAGGUGUCACGUCUACCUGGCAGGAAAGGAAAGCCAGGACCUGUGACCUGGGAACCCCCAGGCAGUUAGAACUGAACUCAGACACGUCACCCCCAUGAAAGCCACAGCUCCAUCACUGCACUGUGGAUACGGUUGUAAAUAAUCCCUGCUCAAUAAAUCAGAGUGACAAAUGACUGCUCUUCUCUCUCACUGACGCCCACCACCACCCAUGUAUUAUCUCAUCACUCUCUUUUCUUACAGUUGUGCCUUCCUGCCAAGAGCUCCUGGGUUUUUUUCUGCUGUUCCAGGGGAAAGCCUUCAGGGACUGUGCUCCCUUCCCCACACAGAGGUGCCCACAGCCAGAUGCAGCAGGGCCCAGACUGAGCCUGGGGAGGAGACCAACCAAGGCAGAUCUCUUCAGAUAGGCAGCUGACCUUCUUGGCAGCUCCAGCCUGAAGAGAACCAAGUGGAGAGGCCAGGGAUACCGUGCAAGAUCUUUCCUCAGCAAAUAUGGGGUGCUGCUUGGCUGAUGGAAAGGUGCCUUUAAGGAAAAGUGGUGUAACUCUCCUGAUGUAAUCAUUACAUAAGGAUUUCAUCGAAAUGACUGCUGUGUUUACAAAGGCAUCAGUAAACAGAGAAUACCCCUGACAGGUCAGAAGUGAUAACAUUUUCCUGACGCAGCACAUAAAUUGCCAAAGAGGCAGGUCUCAUCCCCACCCAGUGAGACAGAAUUGAAGAAAACCAUUUCUGCAGUUCCAGUUGGUGUCCUUCACUCCACCAGGAUUCUGUGGGAUGGAGCCCAACACCUUUUGGGAAGUCUCCUCCUGGUUGUCCUCAGCUCUCUGGCAGCUUCCCCUCUCUUCCAUGACCACGUGCCAGCACACGGCCUUUUGCACAAGCAGUUGCCAUCACCUGUGCCUGGAAAAGGAAUUCCCCCAUCCCCACAUCCCGCUGUGUUUGCUGCAGUGCGGGGUUUCCACCAAGGCAGGCCACAAGUCCUGCUGCUGGAAGUUGCAGUCCAAGGCUUCCUGAGAAGCUGAGAGCCUGGUCUCACACCGCAGCCCCCAAACCUUGCCAAGCUGUGCUCCCAGUGCCGCUAAUGGCUUAUCUCCCAGUUGCAACUACUUAGGAGGUGCAAGUGGAUUUGUACAUCUUGCGUUCCCUUGGAUGGGUCGGAGCCCCUGGCUGCAAUCCCAGCAUCUCCCACUGGCUGACUGGAGACAUCCAUCCUGCUCCAUCACAGGAGAGGCCAUUCCCUGUCCUGUUUUUAUCAGACGUGCCAGAGGCACUGAGAUAACAGAAAAUAAGGCAGAACUGGGGACCCCACCAGCCAUGAGUCAUGCUGGGGAUAUUUGAAUCAGUGGAGCUCCCCUCACUUCCAUAUCCCAAGUUGGGGGCAUGUUCAGCUUUUCCCAAAGCAUUUGUCCCACAAUAAGGCAGAGGAAUAAAUGUAUAUAAAUAAUGUAAUACCCACCACUAGUUCUUGAGAUACUUGAAUGGCAUUUCAAGGCUAGAGCUUGGGAUUUUGUUUGGAUGGAGAACAUUGCUCCUCUGUUGGCUUUUUUAUUUAAAUGAUCACAGAAUGAGAUAUUAAAGUCUUGUCUACACUGGAAAAAAAAUAAAAUAAACUGUUUUAUAUCACAAAACCAAAGCAGACAGCUUCAUGGAGACACCACUAUGUGACAUUAGAGUCUUUUAUUGAUUUCACUUAUGCCUCUUGGGAACAGCUCACAUUUAAAGUCAAAUAUAAAAGGCCAUUUUUAUACUGGAAUAUUUCUGUAGGGAGGAGAUGAUGGUGUAACUGCACCACAUAUAUUAUAAGGAACUUCUAACACUUUGAUAAGUAGACAAGGUCUUUGAGAUUGCAUGAGGGAGUGAUUCCAGAUAUGAAUCUUGGCCCAAAGACAGGCUUGAGGCUUAUUCCUACACAUCAGGGUUCAGGCCCUCAGCUGGGGUAAACUGAUGCUACUCCAUUGAUUUUUGAAAAACUAAACCAAUUUCCAGCAGAGGAGAAUCUGCUCCAGAUUUCCCAGCUGCCCUAUCAAAACUCUUCUCAGAGUAUUGACUGGGGAAAGAAAACAGGCCUCAGCCUGAUAUGAAAGAACAUAAUAGACCUUUAAUUUAAUUGACUUAAUUUUAUUGGCAGCCAUUGAAUGAUGAAAUGAAAACAGAUGAUCUGGAUGAAUAAGAAAAGGUUAGAUGGGAGUAACCCAUUAGUAAAUAUCAAGGCAUCAUCCUAUUGUCCUCAUUUAAUAAAGGAACGGGUCAGUAAGUAUCAUCAUAAACAUUUUUACAUUUUAGUGGAGAUUUAUUUGACAUCAUUACUAGCAGAGAGAUGGAUCCUUGGAACAGCAAGUGGUGAAACAGCCUAGCAGAUGAGAAGCUAGUUCCUUUAGCUGGCAUAAAGUAGCACAGCUCUACAGCUUGACCUAUUUAAUUCCACCUUUUUUAGCAGCUGAGCUAUUACUUUGGACUGCUGUGGGAUAUUUGAUUUUUUUUUUUUUAACUUUUCUUUGACAAAUCUUCCAAACUUACGUCUUCUCUUGCCUAUCUCUAAUGUCUUAAGCCACGAUGUAACUCGAUAUACAGUGUACCUGAGAGAGAAAGACUAGUAAAGGUUGUUGAGUUUCUUCUCAGGACCACCCCUUUCUCCACCCCAGGUCUUCCACUUUCCUCCUGGCCUGGGUGCUGCCAACCCCUGAUGAUUUGGUGUUGUGCUUGCUGGCUCCUGAGAGCCAACAGGUCUGCAAUGGCUGGGCUGUGAACCUGGGCAAUUGGAAGGACACAGGGCUCUGUGGAGUGGGCCAGCAAAGCAGGUUGCUCACAGCCCUCCAGGCCCAGGAGAUUGGGAAGGAGUGGGCUGCUUUGGAAAUAACCCUUCACAUGUCAGACCUCACCUGAAGAAGCAGCUCCUCCCCGUGCCUGCCCCAAAAUGGUCCCCUCUCAUGUGCCCUGCAGACAAGCCUUCAGCUGUCUGGGUCUGCCUGGAAGUCCAUCCAAACAGGAUUCAACAGCCACACUAAAACCUCAUCCAAGGAUGGGAGUACCCUGAGGGAUAGAACAAAUAUAAUACGACGUGAAAGAGACAAAAUUCAGAUGAGAUGCGGGAAAACCAGACAUGACUCCUCACUUAACUCUUUAUAACUUGCUAGUGGUGGGUGACAAUUGUGCAGGAGAAGAGUAAGUUUUAACAGAAGGUUGUCCAGAUCAACUUUGAAAAAAGCUUUUCUGAAUCUCUACCUGCAAAUAAAUAAUUAAAAAAGAAACCCUAAAAGUAAAAAAUAAAGAAAAGCUUAGAUUUUUCUUCAUUUUAGCUGGACUUGGUUAGAAAUGGCUACUCCAGUAGUGCAACAUUUUUUUGUGGUUAUAUAUGCUGGGGUUUGAUUUGGCCCUGUAGGUGCAAAAGCUGCAGAUUCAACCUUCUUGCAAAGAUGGGACCGGGUUGCCCAACCUGGAGCUCCCGUUGAGGAAAACAAGCCUCAUUUUCCAUGGUUGGAAGCUGUCCAAGGGUUGCCCCACUUCCCUUCACUUAUAGGGACAAGGCCAAACCCUGUAUGAGCACUCUGGGCACUCAGGAAAUCUCCAACACCUCAUACCACCACUCCUUGCAUGGGUUGUCUCAUUCCCAUCCCUGGGGACACACUUCCUGCUGCACACCUCCUGUGUUCAUCCUUUUGUCCAUGUUUCCAAGAGAGGGGUUGGUCCUGCCUUGACAACCCUGGGCCAGCUCCAUCAUUUUGUGCCAGCUGCUGUCCCCACGUGCCUGCCCCAGGUCUCUGCUGAGGAUUUCUGGCUCCAUGUAAGAGGCUGCUUGUCCUCUAGCUGGGAUGGUGGAUGCUGCUGUUGUUCCUAUCAGAGCUCCCCUAUGGCUGUGCAAAACUGGGAGUGCUUAGGCUGUUGCUGGUUUCUGCUCUGAUUUUCAUCUCCCCCCUCUCCCCAGCUGCACUAAAAUGCCCAAACCUGGCUCUGUGCUUUCAAGGCACCAUUCCCUUCCAAACCUGAGGGGCAAAAAGGCAGAGCCACCAGUGAGAGCACCAACAGGGCACCCAGUGACACCAUACGAGCUGGGCUGGUGCUCCAUGGAGCUGAUCCCACAGCAGCAACUUAUUUUCACAGUGUUCCUGCCCUUUCUCCCAAUAUCUUCCUCUUUGGCUUAAUGAGCAGAGCCCUCACAGGCUUCACUGUGUGCUUGCUCACAGAGAGCUCACAAAAAUCAGCGUUUAUCCUCUGGUGCUGUGACCAGGAGCGAGGAGAGGAUAUUAAAGACUCUGGUUUUGGGGAGACACACUGGCAGCUUCUCUUGUCCCAGAGCAGAGGCAAUUUACAGGCAUUGUCCUCUCUUCCUGAGGAGCAAGACUGCUGAGGGCAGAGUUAUGUGAUGUCAGGGUGGCCCCUCUCUUAUCAUAUUCCUGCAGGGCAAAGACCUAGCCACAGCAGAAUACACCUGCUGCUGUGUGACCAGGUGUCAGAACUAACCUGAAAAAUCCAGACACUUUCUCUAAAGAAAAUCCCAAAUCUAGCCCCUUCCUACCCCCUUUCAAAUAUUUUCACUUUUCAACAACAACAACGACAACAAAGAGGGGUGAAAAAAAUCAAGAUUUUCCUGGGAAACAAAUUCUCAGUGGAAUCUUUCUGUCUGGUCCAUAACAGAAUAUCUUGCAGGGGACUUCCCUGUUUGAAUCCCAGCACCAGCACCAGCCUGUGAUGCAGGAUGAGGACCACUUUGCCUGGCUCCCAGAGCUCCUGCCAUCCGACUGAGCUCCACAAACUGUGCCUGGCGCAGGGUGGGCUCCACAGAGGGAGGGCUGUUCCCUGCACUCUGCCCUGUUAUGGAGGAAAAGCAGUUUGUAUCUUAACACGUUUUGCCUGGCAGGCAUUUCAAAGGCUUCUCCUCUGAAUCAGGGCUGCAGGCACUGCCUACAUUUCCUUUUUACAAAACUGGCAGGUUGAGCUAUGCAAAAUUCCUUGAUCCUGUUUAUCUGCUGUCUCCUUCCCAAGAGGCACAAUGCUCCUGUGGCCUCUCCAGGCUUUCCUCUAUGCCAUUAACUGAGUUAUAUUUGCCCAUUUGAAGGACAAACACAGGCAGGGUGAGAGGAGGGCAACCAGUGGCCCUUGGCAUGCCAGACUUUGGGAUUUCAGUGUGCAGUAAGGCAGGUAAGUGCAAAGGUACCAUGCCCCUUUAGCCUUUCCUUGACUAAUUAACUCCCCAGCAAAUGAUUUGUGUCCAGAUCAUGUGUUGUGCACAUAAAAAUAAUCCAUUGCCCAGGAUUACAAGCCCAAAAUGAAGACCUUAAGGGAGGAGUGGUGCAGGUCACCCUCCUGCUUGCCUGUUCCUGCUGCCCUGUGGUCCUGAGGGGACAGGAGGAGCAUGGUUUGAGCAUGCAGGCAGGGGAGCCGGGGUUACCUGCCUUCUGGGCCAAAAUCUUGAUCUCAGUACCCUGAGGUGCUCAGUGCAGGGAUGCUGCUCUGUGCAGCUGAGUUUUGUAGUCCCAAGGGUAAUGAGAAAACGAAUCAGCUCUGUCCUUAACCUUUGCACAGGGAAAAAUCACUUCUGUGCUUACCAGGCAGGAGCUCUGGUCUGGUCCUCAGGGGUCCUGCUGGGCAGCACCAGGGUGUCCAUGGGGGACAGAGAAUGAACUGGGGGGCUGAGCAGGGGCCAAGGUGGGGUGGUGGCAGCAGGUCAGGUUGUAAAGGUAGGAAGCGAGGCACUGCUGCAGUGGAGGAAGAGGAAAUGCUCAGGCAAGGGCAGUAUGAAGGAGGAGGAGGAGGAGGAGGGAGGAGAGUCUAAUUUUUGAGGAAUGGCCCAAAACCUGUGCCACGGGGAGUGACGCUCACCUCCUCGGCUGGGACCGCAGAUCGACAAACCUCCACGUGGCUGCUGCGGGUCUGGAAGCCUUUGAGGUGCUCAUGUCUCACCCCACUGCCCUCCUGGCCUACAGGUGGUCUGUGCAGGCAUCCCUUAUCCCGUGAGGUCCACGGUGGAGGUCCAGGUGAUGAAUUUUGAGGUCCAGAUCCUGCUGACGAGCACAGUGGAGCACUCCCAAAUCAGGGCUGGUGGCACACGCAGGUGCACGUGGUGCUCAGCGAGUGUCGGUGCCGAAAUCUUGACUUUGCAACCUGAGUGGUGUCCUAGCAAAGUUUGUGUGUGGGUAUUGACUGAGCCGGGAUCCUGCCUGGAUAUGAUUCACCUUCCUUCCCCCUCAAGGGAGGUACAUUUGGGAACCUAUCACCAGGCUGGCAGCAGCUCUGAUGAAACACUGACUGUCUUCUCGUGGGGCUAAGGAGGGAGGCUACCUCAAAUACGUUUCUAAAAUCAGCCUCUUUCUGUUAUUUACGACAUAAUUUUGCGUAACGAGCGUUGCUCAUGAGCCUGUUCUCUGGGAUGCAAAGUGAAGGACCAUAUGUCAUGGUUUGGACUGCCAACACAUCAACAUUGCAGUCGUUUGCAGACUGUUUCAUAUUUCUUUGAUUUGGGAAUGUGUGUAAUUAGCUCCCUAGAACAGCCGGGUGGAGGAAAUGCGGUCUGUUAUUUAGGCAGAAUUAACAUCCUUGUUUUCUGUAUUGUGAUCCUUGGCUUCCCAGCACUGCUGCCAGAGCAGUGCUGAGGCAUUCAUUCCUUGAACCUGCCUUGGUUGCAAAACUAUUUCUGCUCCUUUGCUAGGCUAUCCCGAGGACCCACAACUGGUACGAGACGUGCCGAUGCUGUAAUUAGUAAAUAUCCACCGCAAGCGACAGCAAAAGAUUUAUAGCCACCACUGGAGCUUUCAGCAAGAGCAAAAGCAACAAAGCACUUAUGGUCACCACCAGCACAAGGGUUUGCUGUGUUUUUCCCCAGCCUCCCAGCAGUGUCCAGCCAGCAUUUCCUACCCUUUGUGCCGCAGACCUGGUGAAUAAAUCUUUACUGACCUGUCGUGGCAAGAAGCUGUGUAUGAAUGUGCUGGUGGGGAAAGAGUUACGUUAUUUUAGCAGGUUAACAAACCCGUACAGGCUGUGUGCUGUUAGCAUUUGGCCUCCUACCAGGCAUAUGAUCAUUCUGUUACGCUUUCCUUUCCUAUUCCGGUGGCUUGUGCAGGUUGGUUUUUGGCAGUGCCUGUAUCCAACACAAAAAGCAGGAGGAGAGCACCCAUGUCGAAUGGCCUUCCGCUCACUCGUGCUUCUGAGGCAGGAAAGGGGUCUGCCCCCAGGGACAAAGGGCAGGCAAUGAGAGGCAAGGAUAUCAAAGAUGAUUUCGUUCCCACAAGAGUUGCUCUGACCAGGCAAAGAAGAUAAUUUAUCCUACUUACGAGCAAAAGGAGAGCUCAUUUCAUGCCAUUGCAAGUAGAAUGUGUCCCAAACACACAGACCAGCAUGACAGUGUGUCUAGUGCUUGACUGGCCUCAAAGUCCACAACCAUAUGAGCUUGGCCAGAGCUAUUACUGGUGUUUGGACACCUCCCUCAUCCUCUUUCUUCCUCACCCCUGAAGAGGCUUGUGCAGCCAUGGGUUCUCUGUUUCUUGGUAAAUGGUGAGUUUAUAUUAGUCCCUCAAAUAGGAAAAAUUCUCUUCCUUGUCUGACUUGACAAACUCUCACAGGAAUGAAGUUGACUUUGACAUCAUUGGCUCCUAGUAAAUUUAAUCAGAACUGGCCAAUAAGUUCAAAAGUUAUUAAAGUCAGGGGGAGGGGGUGGGAGUGUUUUGUUUCCCUAGGAAAAUAGGCAGAAAGAGAGAGAGGGUGUGUGUGUUAUAGAUGAAAAAUGGAAAUGACUAUUUGCAAUCCUAGCAUAUCUAUAUAUGUUAUAUACCUAUAACUUAUCUCCCUUUCCAUUUCUUCUCUUCCACAUGUAAAACAAAUCUGAUCAUUACACUGAUCACAAAAAUGGUCACAAAACUGAUCAUUAUUUCUCCCCAUUUCCCCUUUCUGCUCCCUUGGCCAGCUCCACAGACAGCAUCCUUGGGUUGGUUUGAACUCCUUCCUCUUCUCAGCCACUCCUUUUCCUUGGGAGCCCUCACUGCCUGGAGGGACACAUUCAGCUCCCUGGCUACAAAUGCAGCAGGGGUGAUACUGGUCUGCCAAGCAAUGGAGGCUGUGAGCAAGGAGCCAACAGCAACUCGUUAAUAAGGUUUGUUUUGUAAAAAUGCCCCUUUGAGCUAGCAGUUAAAAUGUUCUCUCUUCCCUUGACUUCUGCUGGAGUAAGCCAGUGACUUUCUGUAAUAAUUUUUAUCUGUGUGUCAAGAAUUUAACCUCGAAAGCAUAACUGGACUGCAUUAAUUAAGCUUUAUCUCAUCUCCAGCUGAACCGAUGGUCAACAAACAAACAGAGCUUUCUCAGGAUGGAGUUCCUGUGCAUUUAUGUGGUCCACAGCAGUUUCACCUCCCAGGCAGAAAGGUGUUCCCCAGUCACUUUGUGGUGCACUUUCUGGGAGUCAUGAAUCUCCUCCUCACAGCUUAUUUGUGUCACCCAUAAAAUAUCCCCAAGCCUCUUCUUCCAGGAAAUGUGGGGGCCAGAAGAGGUCCUUUUGGACUGUGCAGCAUCUUCCAAGCAUCCACAGGAUCUGGCACCUGGAGUAAAGGGCUCUCUUGCUUUUUACCCAUUGGUGCUAAUGAUGACUCUGCAAGCAACCCGGCUUGACCCUGAGAAUGCAGGUGGGGUUUGUAACAGUAGCACUUUAGAAGACCUUCCUUUUGACCUCCUGAUGAAAUCAGCCAUGGUCUCGCUGUGCACAGAGCAUCCCCUCUGAGCUGCAACGAACAAGCAGGAAUUUCUGAGACGGCACAAACUUGCAAACCCUUCCACAAGAUUAUCAAAUGACAGCAGGUUGAAAGUAUGCAGUGAGCAGCACGGAUUCACUGACUAAGCAUCCCUAAAGGGACUGGUGCUUAAUCCUUUCGUAGAUGGUGCCCUCUCACCCUGCUCUGAAGGAGGAGGAGGCACAUGUGCUCUAGAGAAAUGACAUAAUUGAGAGGAAGGUUGAUUUACUCCAUAUGAAAGUAAUAUGGAGUUUGCCUUCUCUGUCUAGAGAAGGUCAAUCAGGCAACUCUGCAUGGUCCUUGAUUUGUCCCCACUCCUCUCUUUUAGGAGGCCAGAGGGCUCCCCCUCAGCACAUGGCAGAACAAGCCUUUAUCAGCCACCUUUGCAAAUCCUUCCCUGGAAGAAUCACGGCAGUGAGAAUUAAGUUCCUGCGCACAGACAAGCCUAUUUCCCUCAGGAUUAGCAGCUCUGGAUGUCACAGCUCCACAGUAGGACAUGCAUGCAUCACCCUGGCAUCACCUGGAAUCUCCCUGGCAUCACCCUGGCAUCAACUCUGCAUCACCCCUGCUUCACCCUGGAAUUCCAGUGACUGCAGAUGACAGCAUUAUUUCCCUGGAUACUGGGAAUGUCCUUAGAGCUGAACAACUGUCAUCUGGUUUGGGAUACUGUGAAUUCCUGGCACUAAUGUCCUCUUCUGUCUCCUCCCUGCCCUACCUCACCCCUACCCCUGCCCCCUUGUUCUGUGGCAAAGGGGCCACAUAGCAGAGGAGGCACCAUACAGAUUUGUCUGGCAGGUUUGUAAUGAGAGGCAUGUGAUGACCCUGCACAUUCAUCAGAUGGUUGUUUUCAGCCUGGACCCAUCUGUGAUGUUUUCAUUAUUUUUUUUCCUCCCUCUGCUCAGGCCAGGCUGCUCCGGGAGAAGUGGCACGUAGGCACAUACGUCCUUGCGCACGCUACACUUGUAUAAACUCCAUCAGGAAGUCAUCUGGCCAAACUUCCCAGAGCUCUGCUUUUAACUCUUCCCUAGGCAGGCUGUACUGGCAGCCAGGGGAUUUCCAGGGAGCGUGGACAUGUGCAUUUGUGCCCCUGUUCUGUUUAUUGAUUCCCACCGCCCUCCUCCUGCCUACAAGCCCUGAUCACGUGGCUGUGCAGCUCUUGCACCCAUCCUGCUCCGAGUUCCCACCAGAAGGAAGUCUCCCUCAGCUGUGCACCCACAGGCACGCACAGGGCUUUGCAAUAGAACAGUGUCUUGGCUUUUCUGGAGGGUGAAGCAGCUAAAGCCAAAGUGCCAAAACGUGCCCAGAGCAGGACUGCCCCAGCAGAACAGAAGGAAAGAGUGUUGGUGGGGCACAGCUGUCAGCCAUUAGGGGUUAUUAUCCCUUGCAGUUAUUAUUUCAGAAGUGUGUCCUUACCAGGCACAUGAGUAACAAAGGAAGUUCUCACAGUCCUUAAAUGUUUGCUGUGGUCAGGGAGGGAUUAAAACAACCCAACCCCUUCAGAAGUGACCCUGUCUUCAAUGAAGACGUGUCUCACUGAGUGUCCCACUCUGUGGAGAGGCACGACUGCACACCCAUAGAGGCACGUCAGUGUGCAUAGAGACAUUUAAAGGACUGAGAAAAACCCUGGAGACUCCUCAGGUAGGGGAAAGGCUGCUAUUCCUCCCCAUGACGUGUGUGGAUUAGCAGUUACCCAUUUGUUAAAUGCAAAAUAACAGUCAUCCCGUGUUGUUAGAGCCUGUCAGCUGCCCACUGACAGAUUUCAAUGGCUCAUACACGAUUUAUCCCUGCAAGUGUUCAAGAAAUGACGUGGCACUUAGUGCUACAGUUUGGUUGACAAGGUGGUGAUCAGUCAAAGGUUGGACUUGACGAUCUUGCAGGUCUUUUCCAACCUUAAUGAUUCUAUUCUAUUUUGAAACUUACUGCACAGGGGUGAAUAACCAGAAUUUCUGGAAAUGUUAUCCUCUGCAAUCAGGUUUGGAGCAGGAAUGUCUGAGCUCAUUUGAUGUUUGGCCAAUGGUGUUGGACACUGUUUGCUUCUGCUUACUCUGGUAUGAGUAUAAAAUGUGUAUCAGAACACCAAUGGCAGUACUGUGUCUCUUGACAUACACUGUAAAUCAGCCCAGAAUGCAACCAUUUAUCCAUCAAGUUGUUCACAGACAUUUGUCCCUGGUUUACUGCAUAUUCAUCUUCUCCAGUGUUACAAAACCAUGACAUGGUAAAAUAGAUGUUACAGGUCUUCAUUUCUCUCCUGUGUGCACAGGCGAAAAUAAGAAGUGACUUCAUUAAAGUUAAUUCAGUUA